GUGCUUGUUCAGCACAUAUGAUAAACUGGAAUCAAUACAGAGAAGAUUAGCUUGGCCCUGCAGAAGGAUGACUCACAAAUUCAUGAAUGUUUAACCUCCAUC
rnacentral:snRNA from 1 species